AAAAUUAUGGCGAACCUCGCGUUUCGCGAGGUUGUGUCCAAUAUUCGUAUUUAAAACAUCCCACUCUUUAUAAAAAAUUAUCUAAUGAUAAAAUAAAAAAGA
rnacentral:misc_RNA from 1 species